rnacentral:rRNA from 1 species
UACGAAGGGGCUAGCGUUGCUCGGAAUCACUGGGCGUAAAGCGCACGUAGGCGGAUCUUUAAGUCAGGGGUGAAAUCCCAAGGCUCAACCUUGGAACUGCCUUUGAUACUGGGGAUCUCGAGUCCGGAAGAGGUUGGUGGAACUGCGAGUGUAGAGGUAGAAAUUCGUAGAUAUUCGCAAGAACACCAGUGGCGAAGGCGGCUCACUGGCCCGGUACUGACGCUGAGGUGCGAAAGCGUGGGGAGCAAACAGG